rnacentral:lncRNA from 1 species
GCCCGUGGGUGAGGCGGGGGCCACGUGUGGGUUAGGGCUGGUUCCCUUAUUGUCUUUGGCAUGGUUUAUGGAAAAGUCAGAGAGAACGAAUUUCAAAUGAUGGGUCAAAACUCAAGGUCUGAAACACAUUUAUUCCAUCCUGGAGGUCUCCUGUAUUCAUGGAAAUAAUUCUGAUAACUUGAACUUUAAUCCCAUUUUGCAGGUAUAUUACCCAUAGAGCCCCAUGUAAAAAUAUUUUUAUUGCGGCAUUUGCCAUGCACUGAAUCUUUUAGAGUUUUGUCUAGUUAUGGAGGGAAGUUAAAAUUGGUUGUAAAUGAUUCCCCUAAUUUCUGUUUUGCUUUCCAUUUCUUUUCUGGUUGUGCAGAGUCCAGGAACUUGCUCUUAUGCAGUGGUCAGGAUGGGAUCUAUCUUCAGGGUCCAAUUCUGCAUGUGUUACGUCGAUUUGACACUUGGAUAUUCACAGAACGGGAGGACCUGCUGGCCGCUUACUUUUGUCAAAGCAGAGAGGCUCCCUAAGGCUCGUCAGUGGAGAGAAGGAAGGAAAGCGACAUGGCGUUCUUCAAGUCAGGGCUUCUUUGGUUGAAAUCUCUGAUAAUGGGUCUUAGGAAUUUGGCUGGAACAAAAGACAUCCUUAUUUCUACAUGCUUCUAGUUCACACAUAUGACUUCCUAGAAUCAUGACUGCAGACACAUAUCUGAAGCACCUUCAGGAGUCUGUGUGCCUAUCACUUCCCAGACACCUCAUUGUGGCAGCCAGUGUUUGAAAAUCUCACACGUGAUGCCCACUCCCCGUCUCUCAGCUUGACAGCAAGUCUUUUCACUUAAGGGUUAAUCAUGACUUUUUAUAUUUCAUAUAAAAGGAAUGUUAGUUCCAGUAUUAGUCAGAGCUCUUCAGGGAAAGAGAGAGCAGACUAGAGACUUCUCAAUAAGCUGAUGGUACAGUUUCAGUCAGAAAGUCAAUAGAUUCCAGAUCCAAGAAAAGCUAAUAUUUCCAUUUGAACUAGAAACUAGGAAAUCAGUGAUGUCCCAGCUCAAAGACUGUUGGGCAGGACUAACAUUCUCUUGCUUGUGGAGGGUCACCCUGUGGUUCUCCGGGAUGAGGACUGUGUACACUAGAGAGUGUAUUAGCCAGCUUCCCAUUACUACCACAAAUGCCUGAAGCAAGUCAACUUAUAAAGAUAAAAGGCUUACUUUGAGAGGUUGUCAGCGUUUUGGAGGUUUCAGUGCCUGGUUGGUUGACUGUGCUGCUUCGGGGCCUGUUACUAGGCAGCAUAUCAUGUCAUGAGUGUGUCAUGGAGACAGCUGCUCACCUCAAGAAGAACAUAGAGAAGGAGGGGAAGCUGAAACUCCAGCAUGGUUGUCAAAGGCACAUCAAUGACCUAGCCAUCACCUCUCACAAGUUCCACAAUUGCUCAAGAUUGCCAUGAACACUCUAUUUCUAAAUCAUAGCGGAGGCAGGGAGGUGCUUAGCCUGUCAAUUUAGAUGGUACAGUCAAAUAUAAACAACUUCACAGACACACUCAAGACACUAGUCAACCAGAUAUCUGGGCACUAUAGAGGCCAGUCAAGAUGACAUAUAAAAUU